GAUGAAGAACGUAGUGAAAUGCGAUACUUGGUGUGAAUUGCAGAAUCCCGUGAACCAUCGAGUCUUUGAACCCAAGUUGCGCCCGAAGCCACUAGGCCGAGGGCACGCCUGCCUGGGCGUCACACGCCGUUGCCCCCCCAUCUACUCCUUCGGGAUUGCGGGGGGGCGGAUGAUGGCCUCCCGUGCGCCUAGCCGCGCGGUUGGCAUAAAUACCAAGUCCUCGGCGACGCACGCCACGACAAUCGGUGGUUGCGAAACCUCGGUUGCCCGUCGUGUGCGUUCGUCGCGCAUCGAGGGCUCGAAAAAAUGCUCGGCUCCGGCUGGGCUUUCAACGCGACCCCAGGUCAGGCGGGGUUACCCGCUGAAUUUAAGCAUAUCAAUAAGCGGAGGA
rnacentral:misc_RNA from 1 species